GGUAAAAUGGCUGAGGAUAAGCAUUGAACUGUAAAUUCAAAAACAGAGAUAGAAUCUCUUUUUUACCA
rnacentral:tRNA from 1 species